UACGUAGGGGGCAAGCGUUGUCCGGAAUCAUUGGGCGUAAAGCGCGUGUAGGCGGCCCGAUAAGUCCGCUGUGAAAGUCCAGGGCUCAACCCUGGAAUGCCGGUGGAUACUGUCGGGCUCGAGUCCGGAAGAGGCGAGUGGAAUUCCUGGUGUAGCGGUGAAAUGCGCAGAUAUCAGGAGGAACACCAAUGGCGAAGGCAGCUCGCUGGGACGGUACUGACGCUGGAGACGCGAAAGCGUGGGGGAGCAAACAGG
rnacentral:rRNA from 1 species